CUCGCUGGCGUCAGAAAUAGAAACGACUCGGUCCAGUUUGGCGACAAUCGAGAGAGGAACGCGCCGGCUCGAAGGGCGCCCUGGAUUUUCCCUGGCUCGCUGUCAGAACGCAAAGGGAAACCGAGGAGCCAAAGAAAGGACGAGUUUCCAGCAUCGCAAAGACCCUCUGGAUUGCUUUCCUCCCUCCGGCCUUGGAGGAAGCCCAGCUCCCUCCUUUAUUCCCUAAGGAAACGCGUUACGGUACUCGGAGCCACAAAGUGCAUCGCAACCCUAAAAAAAAAAAAAAAGCCGGAGCAAAGGGCAUUUUAAACGCUUCAGGUUUGAAAGCACGCGUCGGGCAACAGCGAUCAUGGCGCUGGAUUUCCUCGCAGGCUGCGUAGGAGGUGCUGCUGGUGUACUGGUAGGACAUCCAUUUGAUACAGUUAAGGUGGGUUUCUUUUCACAAGGUUUCUUGGAAUAUGUUAUUAGACUGAAGGCAGUACUUGCCCUUACAAAGAGAAUAGGGAAGAGAUCUAGAUAUUUGAGGCCAUUUAAGUAUAAUACCUCCAAGGGACCUUCCAAUAGAUUGCAGUUAUACUAAAACACUGCAUCCCAUGUUGCAUUCAACGUUCCACAGAAAUGGAACAUUUAGAGUUUCAGAUUAUAUCAUCUCUUGUUCAAGGCACUUAAAAAGUCUUCUGAUGUAUAUGUCUUCAACCAUAUUUUUAAUAUGACAUCUCAAUGGCAUCUAAUAAAUCCUAGGUAUAAUUUUGAGUGUACAUAACUCAUUUGUAUUAAAAUAAAAUUUUAAAAUGCACUUUCCUUAAUCCUGCUUUAUCUGGUACACUUAUUUUAUUUUGCAUUUGAAGCAAUUAAUUUGUUAAUUAUAUUGACCAGAUGACUGUUUGCUGCAUGAUGAAACAGUCUUGCUGAUUUAAUGUGCUUCUUCCCAUCCAAGAAAAGAUGUUGUGAGUUUUCAAUGACAAUUUUUAUUUUCUUGUUUAAGACAUGGGUGUAUAUUGACUGCUGUUGGAGAGUUCAGUACUAGAUUAUUUGUCAAGAAAUUUUUUUUAGUUUGGGUAAUAUUCGCGGCUAUAAGGAAGUCAAUAAUAUUCAAAACAGGACUGUGAAAUAAGAUAUUAAUAAUGGGAGUACAAGGAUUCCAAGUUGCAAACAUAUUUGCAUCUUUAAUUCAGGGAAUUCCUCACUAAAAUAUAUGGGGCUUAUUUUGGAAUAUGAAUGUGCAGGGUGAAGCUGUAUGCUAAGAAUGUAAAUUAAAACAAAUGGGCUUAAAUCCAAGUGUUUCAGCUUGUAUGAGAAUUACAUAACCUUUUUUGAAGAGAAAAUAUGCUGAAUAACACUCUGUAAAUAACCUUAAAAAGUAAAGGAAUAGUUAGCCAUAUAAGCCUUGAGAAAUGUACCUUCUUGGCUUAUAAAGCAUUUUCUAAUUAUUUCAUGCUAAGAAAUAAUCUUUGCUAUGGAUUCAUUCUAUUAAAUUGCACAGAACUUCUUUUCACAUUGUUUCUUAUCAGAACAACUAGGUUUUAGGAGUUACACUUACUCCUGCAUAUAUUAUAACUAACAGGUUCACAGAAUGAGUUGGCACUUCUGAAUUGAAAUUUAUUUUAGUUUAAUUGUUUUGGUGUAUUUAUAUUUCACCCAUCACCUAUCACAAACAUGGUAUCUGUGGGAUGUUUAAGUUGAUAUUCACUGGCUAUCUUAGUUUAAAAACAAUUAUUGCAUCACAUACCCUCAAACUGUGUCUGAGGACCAAGUUAUAUGUAUUCUUGAAAACAUGUUCAAUAUAUUUGCUUUGUAAGAAAACUCUAUCAUAUUUGGGAGGUUACUUAAUUUAUCACAAAUCGCCGACUUUUAUAAUUUGCACAAUUUCAACAUGGAAACAUAAACAAUUUCUAUAAAUACACAUACCUAUAAAGCAUUUAUCUUAAAUGCUUAGCUCGCUACUGUGUUGUUAAAGGAACAGUGAUAUGGCUAGUCACACGGAGGAGGGGAAAUCUGUUUUGCAGAUUUAUUUGAAAGCACUGAGGGAUUAGCUUUCAAGAUAAUAUGAACAGGAUUGUAUCAUUGCUUUAUUAUAAUCUAAUUUAUUUUAAUUGCUUUUGUUGUUUUAUUUUAAUAAAACAACUAAUUUUACAGAAAGACAUUUAUUAAAUCUUUGUUAAGCCUUACCUAAUAUGACAGUCUUUUCCUGAUGAAGCUUUAAUACUGCAGCUAGGCACUAUUUUUUCUUGAAUGCUAUUUUUUUAAAAAAAUAAAUGUAAUGGAAUUUAAAGCAAAGUUUAAUAACUUUCAAGUAGCUGUAACGAUUAGUUUGUGGGACGGGGAGGGUAGGGCUUGUAAAAUGGGGAAGAUGCUGAGCUGUUUUGGAACCAGCUCUUCAAAUGGAGACUCCUGCCCCACUUUGUUGAUGUAAUGUGUACAAUUGCUUUGUUGCUUAACUGCCUUUACUUUUUGAGCUAGGGGCUGUCUUCAUUAACAGCAAAAGUGUUACUUUGUUGUAGAUGACAGAUAAGCCUCAUCACGGGAGAGUUACCUAGUAAGUAUAGACCAGGUGAACAUUCUGUUUCUCUCGGUCUUAAUUUUUUCCAACAUUUAUGAUUAGUUCAAAGCAAAAAGUACUUUCCCCCCCUUUUUUUAGUUUUUAAAAUGUUUCUACAGUGGAGGGUGUGGGGUAUGUAAUGCCUUUAAAUAUAAUCUGUAUUUCUUUUUAAAGAAAAGUCUAACAUUUGCAAUUUGUUCCCUAGUGUUUUUCUUUGUCCCCUUUGUGCUUAAAGUUUGUAUACCUGUGCUAACAAGCAAAAGCCUCUUAAAUUGUGAAUUCUGUUUCAGCCUUUCCUUAAAUCAGGAACCCAUUUUUCAUUUUCCCCAUACAGCUAUGACUGCUUUGUGUUAAUGAGUUUUAGGUAUUGCUACUGGAAUGAUUUCUGAGCCCACUCUUGGUAUGCUUGUUAGUAUUUUGAAUUGCCAACAUUUGAUUGCUACUCACCUUUACAAAAUAAGAAGAAAAACUAGGAACCAUCUUAAUAAAAAUGAUUUU